rnacentral:rRNA from 1 species
UACGUAGGGUGCAAGCGUUAAUCGGAAUUACUGGGCGUAAAGCGUGCGCAGGCGGCUAUGCAAGACAGAUGUGAAAUCCCCGGGCUUAACCUGGGAACUGCAUUUGUGACUGCAUAGCUAGAGUACGGUAGAGGGGGAUGGAAUUCCGCGUGUAGCAGUGAAAUGCGUAGAUAUGCGGAGGAACACCGAUGGCGAAGGCAAUCCCCUGGACCUGUACUGACGCUCAUGCACGAAAGGCGUGGGGAGCAAACAGG